rnacentral:rRNA from 1 species
GAAUAUUGGACAAUGGGGGCAACCCUGAUCCAGCAAUGCCGCGUGUGUGAAGAAGGCCUGCGGGUUGUAAAGCACUUUCAGAGGGGAAGAAAAAAUCGGAUCUAACACAUCCGAGCUUGACGUUACCCUUAGAAGAAGCACCGGCUACCUCCGUGCCAGCAGCCGCGGUAAUACGGAGGGGGCAAGCGUUAAUCGGAAUUACUGGGCGUAAAGCGCACGCAGGUGGCUGAGAAAGUCGAUUGUGAAAGCCCUGGGCUUAACCUGGGAAUUGCAGUCGAAACUACUCGGCUAGAGUAUGGGAGAGGGUAGUGGAAUUCCCGGUGUAGCGGUGAAAUGCGUAGAUAUCGGGAGGAACAUCAGUGGCGAAGGCGGCUACCUGGCCCAAUACUGACACUCAGGUGCGACAGCGUGGGGAGCAAACAGG